AACGAACGCUGGCGGCAUGCCUAACACAUGCAAGUCGAACGAGACCUUCGGGUCUAGUGGCGCACGGGUGCGUAACGCGUGGGAACCUGCCCUUAGGUUCGGAAUAACUCCCCGAAAGGGGUGCUAAUACCGGAUAAUGUCUUCGGACCAAAGAUUUAUCGCCUUUGGAUGGGCCCGCGUUGGAUUAGCUAGUUGGUAGGGUAAAAGCCUACCAAGGCGACGAUCCAUAGCUGGUCUGAGAGGAUGAUCAGCCACACUGGGACUGAGACACGGCCCAGACUCCUAGGGGAGGCAGGAGGGGGGAAAAUGGGAAAAGGGGGAAAAGCCUGAUCCAAAAAUGCCGGGUGAGUGAUGAAGGCCUUAGGGUUGAAAAGCUCUUUUACCCGGGAUGAAAAGGACAGUACCGGGAGAAAAAGCCCCGGCAAACUCCGU
rnacentral:rRNA from 1 species